CAGAACAGAGAUCAUAUCAGAACAACAGAGAUCUCCUCUGGAAUUCAGAAAGAAUUAACACUUCCAGAGAAAAGACGAAAUUUGACACUAGUCCAAUCCGAGCAUGUCUUCAGGGUCCCGGAGCUCCUCCCGCAACGGCAGCAGCGCCAACAUGGCGUCGACGUGGAGCACCAGGGAGAACAAGCUGUUCGAGGAGGCCCUUGCCUACUACGGCGAGGGCACGCCCGACCGCUGGCACAAGGUGUCCCGUGCCAUGGGAGGCAGCAAGACCGCCGACGAGGUGCGCCGCCACUACGAGGUCCUCGAACACGACGUCGGCCUCAUCGAGUCCGGCAGGCUCCCGUUCCCCAAGUACAACACGCAGGGAGCAUGGAACUGAGGGAUGAAGCAUCUGAGGUUCCUGACGACACGAAACAACGCCAGUAUAAACUAGAUUCCUUGAAGUGGCUACGUUACUGAAGGAAACUACAUAUUGAUAUAUUGUUAUUCUGUUAAGAAGAUUGUGGUUGCUUGGUUAGAAAUAAAAGAAGAAAGUACGUGUCUGUAUAUACUUCUAGGUUGUAAAGCAAAUCAAGUGUCGAUCUUGCAGAAACUAGCCUGCAUUUGUUAUUGUGUGUAGCUGUUAAAUAUUCGAGCUGAACUAUGUGGCAAAUAAUAAUGUAAGACUUCUGUACUCGUGUGCUGGUAAUUAUAAAGGUGUGCUUGGCAGAAUCUCA